rfam:Allofrancisella guangzhouensis strain 08HL01032 chromosome, complete genome.
UGAUAGCACUAAACUAAGAAUAAUUAUUAGGAGUGAAAUAAAUGGCUCGUAUAGCUGGUGUUAAUAUUCCUGUU